CUUUUUCCUUGAUCUUUAACCUUUUGCAAUUUGUUGUGACAUUCAGUAGCUUUACGUUUAAAUUCUUCAGCAGCCAUUCGGGACUCUCUCAACUCCGAUUCAUAAAGAUCACUACGCCUGCGAGCUGAAAUAAGAUCCUCUUCCAAUUGAUUCAUCAUCAACCUCAUUUCUUCUACUUGAGCUUGAUAUUCCUGUUCUUUGAUCUCUUGCAGUUUUCGGCUUUGCUCUCUGAUAUCAUGAAGUAGCUGUAGUGCCUUAUCAUCUUCC
rnacentral:lncRNA from 1 species